rnacentral:rRNA from 1 species
GGGAGCGUAGGUGGCAGGGCAAGUCAGAUGUGAAAACCCGGGGCGUCAACCCCGGGACGUGCAUUUGAAACUGUCCGGCUGGAGUGCAGGAGAGGUAAGCGGAAUUCCUAGUGUAGCGGUGAAAUGCAUAGAUAUUAGGAGGAACACCAGUGGCGAAGGCGGCUUACUGGACUGUAACUGACACUGAGGCUCGAAAGCGUGGGGAGCAAACAGG